GCGCUGGUCAGAUCCUCGCAGAACAGAUGUCUUACCAACUGAGCCAACACCUCUGCCUCCAGGCUAUCAUUUUGCUGAGGUCCAUCAGCAAAAUGGACCUCAGCAUCAAAAAAAAGGACAGGCUCAAAGCAUCAAGGACUGGCUUUCUGAGAAAAACACCAGCGGACAGCCCCUCUGAAGGAGGCUCUGCCUGCAAGCCGAGGAAGUGUCGAAACUGGUCACUUCCUGCCAG